UGGGUCGAUAAGUGGGUAGCAGAUGCGUGUGACAUGCUGGAAAACCACUCACAGAACAACAGCCAAGGUCACUCCAUGGCAUUUCAGCGGUGUGUGGCAGAACUGCGCAGCCAGGUCUCCCCCACUUACUCUUCCGACGGGGAGAAACACAAACUCCUCUUCAUAGAUCCAUGCAUAAAUAGAUUGACUUCAGAAGAGAAGGAGGACUCGGUGGCAGGAGCUGGUUACUAUGGCUAUAUGCAUUACUCAUUCUAAAUGGAGAAAUCAAGCCAACAAUCGCUGUAUACAUUAACUAUAUUUGUAUACGAAGGCAGCUCAUUGCCAGCAGCUGUGCGAAGGUGUUGUGCUGAAAAUCCAACUUUGCUCAUGCCAGUCAAGGACUUAAUGACUUUCAUACAUUUAAAGCAGUGCAUACUGAAAGCAGCAAAACUUAUGCACUGUGCCAUCGGGUCUCUGUUCUCCUUAAGCCCUCGCUUUCCUCCAUGUGAAAGUGACCUCAGUUUUCUCACCUCUGUGCUCCCAGUGAUCGUAGAACAGCCCAGGUUGGAAGGGACCUUGAAAGAUCAUCUAGUCCAACCUUUUCAUGGGAGAGGGUCCAAUCACAUUUUUUAAACCUUCGCUGAUGGGGGCUCUACCAGGUCCUUGGGAAGGUUGUUCUACUGGGAUGGAGACAACAUGUCAUGAUGCUGCCUUGGAAAUCAUGGAGACACUAGCUGGCCCAGGCUCUGAUGUACACAAUAUGAGGAAAAGCAACAUCUCCCCAUGUUGGCUUCAGGGUCCAACUUCUAGCCAGCUACUGACUUGUAGGACUGUCACCAGAGUCACUUUCCAUUUGCCAAAUGUCAUUGGAAUUGAUCAGUGAGGAUAAAAGUAACUGCGGGUGCGGAGACGUCUAUAGCAAAGCCACAAGCCUUAUUUUCAUUGGCUACAAACUUAGUAAAAUAUCUUCCCUUUUUGAAGUUACCCACUGAAGCUAGUGUUUCUGGCAAACACAGCUUCCCUUAUUUUGUUGCAGGGUGGCUGUGAGGGCAGGGCAUUGGUUUCCCCCUUUAUACGGUGCUGCACAAACAGAUCUUGAAGUGUGAAGGUGUGUCAGUGAUGGAUGACAGUGGCUAUCCAGACCAUGCUGGCAAUGCAAUGGAAAUCAUCUGCAUUUAUUGAUAGGAUCCCGUUUUCUCCUCUAGCAGAGGGAAGGCACAGACACCGGACCUGC